rnacentral:lncRNA from 1 species
UGUGAUAGGGAUCCUGGAAUGUUUGGAUCUCUGGGUCUUUUCUCUGAGAGGUUCGCUUAUGCUAAGGAUCAUCCACUCUCCUGACUGAGGGAUGGAACAUUGUCAUCACCCCCAGGCAUCUGAGAAACAGGGGAAAAUGGUGCGCAGUCUCCUCCUCCUACCUGCUGCUCUGAGUUCAAAUCUCUCAAAUUACAUUUGCCAGAAAUGCUAUGAUGUAAUGAAGGAAGGCAGUUGCCAAGGUGGAUGUCUCGGUUCACAACUCAUUUCCUUACCUCAAGAUGGAAAAUGGAGCCUUGAAAUCCAGGUACUGGAC